AGAGUUUGAUCAUGGCUCAGGAUGAACGCUGGCGGCGUGCCUAAUACAUGCAAGUCGAACGCACAGCGAAAGGUGCUUGCACCUUUCAAGUGAGUGGCGAACGGGUGAGUAACACGUGGACAACCUGCCUCAAGGCUGGGGAUAACAUUUGGAAACAGAUGCUAAUACCGAAUAAAACUUAGUGUCGCAUGACAAAAAGUUAAAAGGCGCUUCGGCGUCACCUAGAGAUGGAUCCGCGGUGCAUUAGUUAGUAGGUGAGGUAAUGGCUCACCUAGGCGACGAUCCCUAGCUGGUCUGAGAGGAUGACCAGCCACACUGGAACUGAGACACGGUCCAGACUCCUACGGGAGGCAGCAGUGGGGAAUAUUGCACAAUGGGCGCAAGCCUGAUGCAGCCAUGCCGCGUGUGUGAAGAAGGCCUUAGGGUUGUAAAGCACUUUCAGCGAGGAGGAAGGCAUCACACUUAAUACGUGUGGUGAUUGACGUUACUCGCAGAAGAAGCACCGGCUAACUCCGUGCCAGCAGCCGCGGUAAUACGGAGGGUGCAAGCGUUAAUCGGAAUUACUAGGCGUAAAGCGCACGCAGGCGGUUUGUUAAGUCAGAUGUGAAAUCCCCGCGCUUAACGUGGGAACUGCAUUUGAAACUGGCUAGCUAGAGUCUUGUAGAGGGGGGUAGAAUUCCAGGUGUAGCGGUGAAAUGCGUAGAGAUCUGGAGGAAUACCGGUGGCGAAGGCGGCCCCUGGACAAGACUGACGCUCAGGUGCGAAAGCGUGGGGAGCAAACAGGAUUAGAUACCCUGGUAGUCCACGCUGUAAACGAUGUCGACUUGGAGGUUGUGCCCUUGAGGCGUGGCUUCCGGAGCUAACGCGUUAAGUCGACCGCCUGGGGAGUACGGCCGCAAGGUUAAAACUCAAAUGAAUUGACGGGGGCCCGCACAAGCGGUGGAGCAUGUGGUUUAAUUCGAUGCAACGCGAAGAACCUUACCUACUCUUGACAUCCACGGAAUUCGCCAGAGAUGGCUUAGUGCCUUCGGGAACCGUGAGACAGGUGCUGCAUGGUUGUCGUCAGCUCGUGUUGUGAAAUGUUGGGUUAAGUCCCGCAACGAGCGCAACCCUUAUCCUUUGUUGCCAGCACGUAAUGGUGGGAACUCAAAGGAGACUGCCGGUGAUAAACCGGAGGAAGGUGGGGAUGACGUCAAGUCAUCAUGGCCCUUACGAGUAGGGCUACACACGUGCUACAAUGGCAUAUACAAAGAGAAGCGAACUCGCGAGAGCAAGCGGACCUCAUAAAGUAUGUCGUAGUCCGGAUUGGAGUCUGCAACUCGACUCCAUGAAGUCGGAAUCGCUAGUAAUCGUAGAUCAGAAUGCUACGGUGAAUACGUUCCCGGGCCUUGUACACACCGCCCGUCACACCAUGGGAGUGGGUUGCAAAAGAAGUAGGUAGCUUAACCUUCGGGAGGGCGCUUACCACUUUGUGAUUCAUGACUGGGGUGAAGUCGUAACAAGGUAACCGUA
rnacentral:rRNA from 1 species